UAAGAUAUUUCUCUCUUGAAACACCCCCACAAAAAAAAAUUUCUAAUUAUUAUUUUAUUUUCCAUUAUCUUUCCCACUCUUUUUUUUUCGUUUCUCAAAAAAAUAAAUUUAUAUUUAAUUUCUCUGAAAAAAGAUUAUUACCAUUUUCCCCAAGCUCUUUCUCUCCCUAACAAAAAGGGGUCGUUUAUCUUGUUCCGUUUCGGUUUUUUUAGGGUUUCGUUUAAUCAAAGGCCGUUGAAGGAGGACGAUUUAAUGGCGGCGGCGACGGCGCAAGGGAUGGACCCAGCGGUACUAGACGAUAUAAUCAGACGGCUGACGGAAGUCCGAUCAGCCAGGCCAGGGAAACAAGUGCAAUUAUCUGAAUCUGAGAUCAAACAGCUUUGUGUUGCUUCGAAAGAUAUCUUCGUUCAACAACCUAAUUUGCUUGAACUCGAAGCACCCAUCAAAAUUUGCGGUGACAUACAUGGGCAAUAUAGUGACUUACUAAGGUUGUUCGAGUAUGGGGGUUUUCCUCCUCAUGCUAAUUACCUAUUUUUAGGCGACUAUGUUGAUCGUGGCAAGCAGAGUUUGGAAACUAUAUGUCUUUUACUUGCUUAUAAGAUUAAGUACCCAGAGAACUUUUUUCUAUUGCGAGGAAACCAUGAAUGUGCAUCUAUUAAUCGGAUAUAUGGAUUUUAUGAUGAAUGCAAACGACGGUUUAAUGUGAGGCUGUGGAAAAGCUUUACUGAUUGCUUUAACUGUCUUCCUGUGGCGGCUCUUAUAGAUGACAAAAUAUUGUGUAUGCAUGGUGGUCUUUCACCUGACUUGACAAACCUGGAUCAAAUUAGAAGCUUAUCUCGUCCAACUGCAAUUCCUGACACCGGUUUGCUGUGUGAUUUGCUCUGGUCUGAUCCUGAUAGAGAUGUUAAAGGAUGGGGAAUGAAUGACAGAGGAGUUUCGUACACCUUUGGUGCGGAUAAGGUGUCUGAAUUCUUAGCAAAGCAUGAUUUAGAUCUUGUUUGCCGUGCGCAUCAGGUUGUGGAGGAUGGUUACGAAUUCUUUGCUGAUAGGCAACUUGUUACAAUAUUUUCAGCACCUAACUAUUGUGGUGAAUUUGAUAAUGCUGGUGCGAUGAUGAGUGUCGAUGAAAACCUGAUGUGCUCUUUCCAGAUUCUCAAGCCAGCAGAGAAAAAAGCAAAGUUCAUGUCCACUAAAAUGUAAUGGUUGCUGCUAUCAACAUUUAAUGGCUUGCAAGUCUUUACGAAGGUCAGCUAAAUAGAGUUGUUUUUGUUUUCUUUAAAUUCUUUUUCCUUUUUAUUGAUGAUAUUUUUUUGGCUGCUGACUGCCAUUGUUUGUCGUUUACAACAUAUCAAUCAAGUGUUGCUAUUAUGUGGUUGUGAGUGUACGAAUAAAUCAAGCUAGUGACUUCAGCUGACAUAUUGAUUUUAAUGUAUGUAUUAGUGUCUGAACACUGAUAUACAUCGCAAAGAUGUGCUAUGAGAGAAGAGAGUUCGAGAUAUCCUUAUUCAUUAAUGGUUGUUACUUUCCUCUGUGUUUACUUUAGAAGUUUUCAGCAUUUUCAGGUAUCUCUUAUGUUUAUGAUGUUAACAAAAGCUUUUAGGUGGCAAUAAUAUUGAGUCAUUAUCAGAAUCAUUGUUAUUAUAAAGCACUUUUUAUUCAAACCAAUCGUGAAAUGUUCAUAAUUUCAUUUGAUGGUCCAACUUCAGAAACUAAAGAAAAUACCUUCUUUGACCUCUCUUUCUCUCUUUGAAGAUUCAGGCUGUACGAUUAUCUGGAUCACCUCUAAGUAGAGAAUAUUCAAAAGUCAAAAAAGGCUUCUAAUGGGGAAGAAUGGAAAUGAUUUUCUUUCUAUUGUAUAAUUUAGUGAUCAACCCCCCUCUCCUUAGUAUCUACUUGCUGGAUUGUCCACCUUCUUCUCCUUCAAUGUACUCUUUUGUCGGUUCUGAAUAUUGGUGAUUGUUAUCCAUCACCCUCCAAAAAUGGUUGAAACUGAGGACUGCUGGCACCCAAACUUUUGCUAGGGGAGAUGCAAGUGAUGGCUCUAUGGAUACCGUUUGUAGGGUAAAAAGGUUUACAAGUCUGCUUUCGUGUAGCAUAAGCCGCCACUGUAUUUCUCUUAAUUCUUCUUUAUUUUCCACCUCCAUGUUCUAUCCUUUUUCUUUAUAGCAGUUAAUCUGCGGUUCAUGUAUAGAUAUAUCUGGUCUGACAGCUCAUAGUUGUGCUUUGAGUUGUUGGAACAAUAAAAUAUGGCCGCUUUCGUCUUCAAAGGAUUUUUUCGUAUUUCGCAGACUUUUUGCUAAUUGAGAUGUUUGUAUUGGGUAUGUUUAGGUGCAAUCAAAUGUUAUGAGAUGAUUAGCUGCAAUUAAGAGCCUAUUGCUCACUUGUAAUGAUUAAUUUUGUUUUUGAAGA